AUUUCAUCUCCUGCUUCCAGUUGACUUUCCUGAACUCCAGCUGCGUUUCCUCUGUUCCAGGAUCUGAACGGUUUCCGCACUGCAGCAGCAGAAAAUGGAAACCCUGCAGCCUCUGACCUUCCUCACCAUCCUCAUCCUCACCAGCCAGCUUGAGAUGAAGGACGAGACGACGACCCUGCAUCCAGAGGCCGGAGGACUGGGAGGACUGGGAGGACUGGGAGGACUGGG